CUGUGCCCAAGGCUCAGAGAACAUUUCAGAGAGGAGGUAGAAGGAUUGUAAGAGUCAAAGGAUGAGGAAAUCUGCUGUGUCUCCUAGAAAUGACGAGGAAGCAUCAGAUAGGGUGCCUCAACACUAUGGCUGCCUAAACAGGACCUAAAGAAAUACAACACCAUGGACAUGCUCACAUGGAAGGAGAAAAAUCUCACAGACCCCAUCCCCUAAAUGAAGAACUACAUCGACUAAGGAAUUCCGAGAACAGGCAAUAUAGUCUUCUCCAGGGAUAAACCUCCUAAUUGGUUAUCCAGCACUAAGAGAUAACUGGAGAGCCAAGAGACGUCCAUCAUCUUCUGAAAGGUCCGUCAUCCGGAGACCCACUUUUGAGGUCAGAAGUGCAAAUGACAGAAAGAGGAGUACGGAUUAGAAUAACUAAUAUCUGCCCAGAACUUUCCUGCUUCAAAGCUCUUCUUCACCUUGAUCAAUGGAUUCAACUCCCACAGCAGACCUGGGAAAGAGCAAAGCCAAGUUCACCACAACAUGGCAUCCCCUAGCAUGCUAGGGCUUGAGCAUGGUGUGAGCGUGUCCCCCGAGGUUCAUGUGUUUGGAGCUCGGUCUUCAGUGGAACUCAACGGAAGACAGUUCGUGGGAGCACUGGCCUCGGAUUCUUUGAUGCUGGUCUUGUAGAGUGAAUGAGCUGUUCUCGAGUGUGACCCCGAUCCUUGAACUCCUCUCCGGCUCCAUGUUUUGGCGUGUGGCCUCUUCCUCUCCCACCGUGAUGCCACUCAUCCUGAUGCAACAGCCAAGGGGACCCUCACCUGAGGCUGGGCCAACAGGAAUGCUGACUUUGAACU